AGGACGAACGCUGGCGGCGUGCUUAACACAUGCAAGUCGAGCGGAAAGGCCCUUCGGGGUACUCGAGCGGCGAACGGGUGAGUAACACGUGAGCAACCUGCCCUUAGCUCUGGGAUAGCUCCGGGAAACCGGAAUUAAUACCGGAUAUGACCUAGGCCGACAUCGGCCGUGGUGGAAAGUUUUUCGGCUAGGGAUGGACUCGCGGCCUAUCAGCUAGUUGGUGGGGUAAUGGCCUACCAAGGCGACGACGGGUAGCCGGCCUGAGAGGGCGACCGGCCACACUGGGACUGAGACACGGCCCAGACUCCUACGGGAGGCAGCAGUGGGGAAUCUUGCGCAAUGGGCGAAAGCCUGACGCAGCGACGCCGCGUGGGGGAUGGAAGGCCUUCGGGUUGUAAACCCCUUUCAGCAGGGACGAAGCGAAAGUGACGGUACCUGCAGAAGAAGCGCGGCUAACUACGUGCCAGCAGCCGC
rnacentral:rRNA from 1 species